UACUCACACCUAAAAUGUAGAGUCGGGCCGAGGCAGGGUGCUGCUGAACGCGGCGGCCGCCCGGGGCGACGGCCUGCUGCUGCUGGGCACCCGCGCGGCCGCGCCGGGCCUGCGAGAGAGCCGGCGGGGCAAGCAGGGGGCCCGGAUGAGCCUGCUGGGGAAGCCGCUGUCCUACUCCAGCGGCCAGAGCUGCCGGCGCAACGCCAAGUACCGGCGCGUGCAGAACUACCUGUACAAUGUCCUGGAGCGGCCGCGCGGCUGGGCGUUUGUGUACCACGCGUUCGUACCUGCAGACUCUUCUGUUUCCUCCGUUGUCAGAGUGGAGUGAGCGAGGCCAGCGACUGACACAGUGAGUAACAGACCUCCAGUCGGGAGUCUAAUUCCCCCAUGGACCCAGCUGAGCUGACCUUUACACAGGAAAAACAGAACUGAAAAUCUGCAGCUCAGAGAGACUUCCCACAAUUUCAGACAAUGUCCGGCCUCAGGCAGCCCUCAUGCAAACAUAGCCAUUCGUCCAGUGAGAACUCGGUGAGAGAGCAUCAACCCAGAAGGUCAAGCAGCAGCCAGCAGAUUCGGGUCAGGCGCAGCACCCUUGCUAAGAGCCAAAUGGAUUUGGUGAUAGACCCAUACUAGAUUUCAGGCUUUGGGGGACAGUAAAUUUCAGAGGUAACUUAGUUUACAGAAGCUGAAAAUUCGUGUUCAAAUAAAAAUUAAAGACUUUAUAAUUAUGCUUGCAUGUUAAAUAAUAAGCAAACUGAACUUUUAUGUUCAUUACAUUAAGUUUGUUACUGUUGUUACAGUAAAAUUCACAUUGGUGAAGUGCACUACAAUGAAAUUCAUACAAUUUUAACGUAAUUUAAUUAUUGAAGUUAUUUAAAUUACUUAAAGCCACUCAUGGUAGUGCACACGUGUAUUCCAGCACUUAGGAGACUGAGGCUGGAGGCUCACUGCAAAUUCCAGGCCAGUCUGGAUUACAAAGUGAGUUCAAGGCCAGCCUGAACUGCACAGGGAAACCCUGUCUCAAAAAAAAAAAAAAAAAAAGUUACUUAAAGGGUAUAGGGUUAAAUUUAAUCCUAAUUUAAUGUGUAUUUCAAAACUUUCCUGGAAAACUUUAAAAAAGCUGAAAACAUGCUAUUUCCACAAAAUACU
rnacentral:lncRNA from 1 species